rnacentral:tRNA from 2 species
GCGGGCGUGGCGAAACGGUAGACGCAGCGGACUCAAAAUCCGCCGUAGCAAUACGUGUCGGUUCGAGUCCGACCGCCCGCACCA